rnacentral:rRNA from 1 species
UGAGUAACACGUAUCCAACCUGCCGUCUACUCUUGACAGCCUUCUGAAAGGAAGAUUAAUACAAGAUGGCAUCAUGAGUCCGCAUGUUCACAUGAUUAAAGGUAUUCCGGUAGACGAUGGGGAUGCGUUCCAUUAGAUAGUAGGCGGGGUAACGGCCCACCUAGUCUUCGAUGGAUAGGGGUUCUGAGAGGAAGGUCCCCCACAUGGAACUGAGACACGGUCCAA